UCCCAGCUGUAAACGAUGCAGACUAGAUGAUGCAUUGGCAUAAUAGCCAUUGCAGUGUCUCAGGGAAGCCGUUAAGUCUGCCGCCUGGGAAGUACGUACGCAAGUAUGAAACUUAAAGGAAUUGGCGGGGGAGCACCACAAGGGGUGAAGCCUGCGGUUCAAUUGGAGUCAACGCCAGAAAUCUUACCCGGAGAGACAGCAGAAUGAAGGUCAAGCUGAAGACUUUACCAGACAAGCUGAGAGGUGGUGCAUGGCCGUCGCCAGCUCGUGCCGUGAGAUGUCCUGUUAAGUCAGGUAACGAGCGAGAUCCCUGCCGCUAGUUGCUAUCAUUAUUCUCAGGAAUAGUGGGGCGAAUUAGUGGGACUGCCGUUGUUAAAACGGAGGAAGGAAGGGGCUACGGCAGGUCAGUAUGCCCCGAAACUCUGGGGCCACACGCGGGCUGCAAUGGUAGUGACAAUGAGUUCCAAACUCGAAAGAGAGUGGCAAUCUCUAAACGCUACCACAGUUAUGACUGAGGGCUGUAACUCGCCCUCACGAAUAUGGAAUCCCUAGUAACCGCGUGUCAUUACCGCGCGGUGAAUACGUCCCUGCUCCUUGCACACACCGCCCGUCGUUUCAUCGAAGUUUGCUUUUAGCGAGGUGAUGUUUAAUUGGC
rnacentral:rRNA from 1 species